AUGAUGCAAAGAAGACGCCGGUAGCCAACUGACAACAACUUGAACAAGUACUUGUUUCUGUUUAUUUAACGAGACAAACACAAUCAAGGAGCUAUGAACACAUAGAUACUCGCGAAAAUAAUACAGCAGUACAUUGUGUUACAACAAAUGGACAGAGGAGUUGACUAUUGAUAGUGACUGAUAAUGGACUGGAGUAACCUAGCGUCCAAUGACUCUGAACAUGCCUGACAGUACUGGCAUGUGUACAUGUAUGUCGACAGCCAAUUCUAAGUAACCUUAAACGUAUACAUUGUAUAUACAAAAGACCUACAAUAAUGAAUUAGCUCCUGAGAUGUCAGUGGAAUGGAAGUAAUGCACAUCAUAUGUUUCAAUGAAAUUAACAUGAUUAAUGAUGGGAUAAGACGUAGAGAAGAUCCUAUAGCUACAGUACAUGUACAUGUAACUGCAAAUGUAUUCCAAGAGUUUAUGGCUGAUUAUGCAACUACAGGAUUUUAUCAUUGAAGCAACAUCUUAGAAGGAUAAGUGCAAAUGUAUGAAGGAAGCCUUGUGUACAAAUACAUGUAGCAAUUACAUGCAGGAGAGAACACUUAAACAUUACUAGCAUGUAGUCAUGAUAUUGGAGUGGUGCAUUCUAGAAAUCUAAACACCUGGAAUUAAAUAUUGUGUAUAUUUUUUUUCAACCACAAGUACCUUCAGCAUAUAAUACAAUUCAUAUUCAAAUUAUUGUGUCAACAUGACAGUUACUUUCUAAAAAUGGAAAAUGCUUGUUUUAAAAUGAAUUUUAUAUAAAUAUUUUAAAUAACAAGAAUUUUUAGCUUAUUGUGCAGCCAAACUUUGAGAUCUUUUAAUGGUAUAUGCCUGUUGUUUGUCAACAUUUAUUUUCUUUUUGACUUAGCCUUAAGAUCAGUGUUAAUACAACAUGUAAUAUGAAAAACUGAAAACCAUAUAUGAAAUAAGAAGGAAAUGGUUGUAAAUAACAGCAAGACUUUCAAUAUGGUAUAUCAAAUAUAUUUCACAGAA